AACAAACGCUGGCGGCGUGCAUAACACAUGCAAGUCUAACGGGAAAGUCGGCUUCGGCUGGCAAGUACCGUGGCGAACGGGUGAGUAACACGUGGGUAAUCUAACCUCGAGUUUGGGAUAACCCUGCGAAAGCGGGGCUAAUACCGAAUAAGACCACGCCCUGCACGCAGGGUGCGGUAAAAGGUGGCCUCUUCCUGAAAGCUAUCACUUGAGGAUGAGCCCGCGGCCUAUUAGCUAGUUGGUAGGGUAACGGCCUACCAAGGCGACGAUGGGUAGCCGGCCUGAGAGGGUGUACGGCCACACUGGCACUGAGAUACGGGCCAGACUCCUACGGGAGGCAGCAGUGGGGAAUUUUGCGCAAUGGGGGAAACCCUGACGCAGCAACGCCGCGUGAGUGAUGAAGGCCUUCGGGUCGUAAAGCUCUUUUAGUGGGGAAGAAGCCCUCCAGGGUUAAUACCCCUGGGGUCUGACGGUACCCACAGAAAAAGUUCCGGCUAACUACGUGCCAGCCGCCGCAGUAAAAC
rnacentral:rRNA from 1 species